AUUGAACGCUGGCGGCAGGCCUAACACAUGCAAGUCGAGCGGAUGAAGGGAGCUUGCUCCUGGAUUCAGCGGCGGACGGGUGAGUAAUGCCUAGGAAUCUGCCUGGUAGUGGGGGAUAACGUCCGGAAACGGGCGCUAAUACCGCGUACGUCCUGAGGGAGAAAGUGGGGGAUCUUCGGACCUCACGCUAUCAGAUGAGCCUAGGUCGGAUUAGCUAGUUGGUGGGGUAAAGGCCUACCAAGGCGACGAUCCGUAACUGGUCUGAGAGGAUGAUCAGUCACACUGGAACUGAGACACGGUCCAGACUCCUACGGGAGGCAGCAGUGGGGAAUAUUAGGCAAUGGGCGAAAGCCUGAUCCAGCCAUGCCGCGUGAGUGAAGAAGGUCUUCGGAUUGUAAAGCACUUUAAGUUGGGAGGAAGGAAAGUAAGUUAAUACCUGGCUGUUUUGACGUUACCAACAGAAUAAGCACCGGCUAACUUCGUG
rnacentral:rRNA from 1 species